UUGAAAGGGAAACGAUUGAAGUCAGUUCAUGCCGGUGAGAAAUCAGCUUACAGGCUACUGUGAGUGCACUUUUUCGCAAGGCAGGGUUAACAUCGGUUUGUGUUGCGUCAUAAUGAUUGUAGGAAGGUGGCUGCCUUCGGGAGUGUUAUAGCCUACUUUACAUGGCGCGACGAGGACUGAGGAUUGCAGCGAAUGCCUUUGGCUACGGAUCUUUUCUCUGUCGAUCUUCAAUUGAUCUUCAGCUUGCUGAUGAGCGGUUGAUGGGUUUGCAAUAGGAUGGAAUCCGAUAAAUUCGUUAAGGAUGUUGACGUA
rnacentral:rRNA from 1 species